rnacentral:pre_miRNA from 1 species
UAAUAUCUACUAUGGCUCUAUGUUUAAUAUCUACUAUGGCUCUAUGUUUAAUAGCCAUAGUAGAUAUUAAACAUAGGGCCAUAGUGGAUAUUA